AAAACUUUCAACAACGGAUCUCUUGGUUCUGGCAUCGAUGAAGAACGCAGCGAAAUGCGAUAAGUAAUGUGAAUUGCAGAAUUCAGUGAAUCAUCGAAUCUUUGAACGCACAUUGCGCCCCUCGGUAUUCCGGGGGGCAUGCCUGUUCGAGCGUCAUUU
rnacentral:rRNA from 1 species